AUAGGCAGCAACGCCGCCUGAUAUCCCAUUGGGGUCCGAUAACUUCUACAAUUCAUAUUUAUCGAGGUAUUGUAGAAAUACAGCUGAUUGAAAAGCGAAUAGAAUUGCAAAAGCGCACAGAGAUUGAACACAGUUGAAUGGCGGACAGUGAAAAAGUUGUGAAACGCGGCCGACGCCAGGGCAGGAAGAAGGCACCACCGGAUCCUGGACAGGCGGCAUUGUUGGUGGUCGAUGGCCGGGUAACCGGUGGGAAGAAGGGCACUGGCAAACAGAAGACUCGACCGGGCAACGCGAAAGCCGACGGGGGCGACAAGCUGAAUUCCGAGGACGAAAAGAUGCUGCGCCAACUGGUCAACGACUUCCUGCAAAGCUGCGAGCCGAUGAAACAGCUCCCCGGACUUACCAAAGCCCAGCGCAGCCACGUUCACCGAUUGGCCCAGAAUCGCGGGCUUAAGACGGUGAGCAAGGGUUCAGAGGAGGACCGCGUCCUUUUUAUAAGUCGCCCGCAGUCGGAGGACCAACAGCAGUACCUCCUUUGCAACACAAAGCUGCACAUUUGUCCACCGCUCCUAGACGUUCUGGGACAAAUGGCCGGCAAUGUGGAACGAAGAUUGAUAAACUCCGUUGAAGGCUUUAAGCGCAAGAAAGAGCAGUAUCAGGAUAAACGGCGUCCUUCCAACUUCGGCCUAGUCGGGCAGAGGCUUAUUCCGCCGCCGCAGAGCAACAGGAACAGGAACAUUCAGCACGAGCGCCGGAGCCUGCCCAUCUACAAGCAGCGAGAGAGCAUCCUCAACGUUCUGCAGCGUGAUCAGGUUUUGAUCAUUAAAGGAGCCACUGGCUCUGGCAAGUCCACCCAACUUCCUCAGUACAUCCUUGAGUGGGCCGCAGAGCAUCGAUCUCCAGUCAGGAUCGUGGUAAGUCAGCCUCGACGCUUAGCAGCUAUCAGUGUCUCGGAGCGCAUUUCCAAGGAGCGCGGAGAGGCGCCUGGCACCACAGUGGGCUAUCAGAUUCGCAUGAAUAGACAAUGCAGCAGCAACACGGUUCUAAUGCUGACCACCAGUGGUUGCCUUUUGAGGGCUCUCGCCAUGGAUAAGGAGUCUUUCUUCAAAAACACCACUCACUUAAUCAUUGAUGAAGCCCACGAGCGUGAUUUGGACACAGACUUUCUGCUGCUGGCCACCAAGCUGGAGCUGCAAAAGAAUCCGCACCUCCGCGUCGUGCUUAUGUCAGCCACCAUGGAUCUUGAAGCAUUGUCCAACUAUUUUGGUGGGGGCACCGUGAUGGAUGUAGAGGGGCGCAACUUCGGGGUGGCGAUCUAUCAUCUAGAAGACAUUCUUAGUAAUACUGGAUACAUGCACCCGAGAAUGGAGCAGUUUUUGGGCAAGCCGACAGGCGAAGAAACUCCUAGCGAACUGCUAGCCGCCUAUUAUGGAGGUCGCACAAUCAUAGAUCCGGAUAUCGACAAUGACUUGAUAGUUUCGCUAUUGGAAUUAUUACUGCGCCAAGGUGACGCUGGAGCGGUGAUUGUGUACCUGCCAGGCUAUAGCGAUAUGACCUCGCUACUGGCCCGCUUGGAAUCGUCUCUACCGCAGGACCAGAUUACUAUCAUACUGCUUCAUAGCCAGGUGGACAACAACGAGCAUCGCAAGGUCUUCCGCGUUUACCCUGGCGUGCGUUUAAAGAUUAUUCUUAGUACCAACAUAGGACAAACUUCGAUCACCAUUCCGGAUCUACUUUAUGUCAUCGACACGGGCCGCGCCAAGAUGAAGACCUAUGACAUGACCAUAGAUGCAUCGCAGUUAACCAUUACGUGGAUCUCGCAGGCGGACGCCAAACAGCGUGCGGGAAGAGCUGGACGCGUGUGCCAUGGCAAUUGCUAUCGGCUGUAUGACAACGACCGCCUGGCCAAAAUGGAUCUGUACACCGUCCCAGAGAUCGUGAGGCGUACCUUGGACGAGAUAUGUCUGCUGACCAAGUUGGCAGCUCCAGACAAGAAAAUAGAAAAUUUUCUAGAUCUGGCUUUGGAUACCCCACCAAAGGAUGCCGUAAUACAGUCCUGUUCUAGACUGAAGCUAUUGGGCGUGCUCGACGAACGGGACGAGGUCACGCAACUGGGACAUAUCAUUGCCGAACUGCCUUUAGGCGUUCAAAUCGGCAAAUGCCUGGUGUACUCCAUUUACUUGCGCUGCCUGGACAGCAUGACCAUAAUUGCGGCCUACCACUCGGUGAGGGAUCCCUUUGUUCUGAACAUAGAGCGUGGCAAGAAAUCAGGCCAGCAGAACCGCAGAAUUCUUUUCGCUGGCGACGGAAUGAGUGAUUCGCUGGCGGCCAUUAAACUUUACGAGGAGUUCACCAACUUGAAGCGCAUGGACAUCGGCGAUUUUUGCGAGCACAAUUUUGUUUGCCGUAACGCAAUGGAGAUGUUCGUCUCGGCGGUGAGCACUCUACGCUACACCGUGUACCGUAUCUUCCGCUUUAGCGAGGCCAGUGCUCGUUUGGCCUCGUCUUUCAACGAUGAUACGAAUAUGAUCCGCCUGGCCCUGACUGCAGGACUGUAUCCCAAGUUGGCGUACAUGGACCGCGAGAAAAAAAACCAGCUGGUGGCUGAAGGAGAUCCAUUUGUUCAGGUUUCGAGAUCCUCUUGCCUUUUGGGCAAAAAGAAGCAAAAGAAUUUGGCCAGCGAGUGGAUCCUGUUUCUUGAGAAGACCCGCACUGCAGACCAAACUUCCUCGCUAGAGUAUACCACCUUGGUAAGCGGCUUGAUGGUGGCUCUGGCAGGCGGAAAGCAGUUCGUAACCGAGGCGCAUGGGUUCGAAGUGCUGCUGUGCCUGGACUCCUGGAUCCGUCUGAAAUGCCCAGCUGAAUUUGGACUCCAGCUCCAUAAAGUGCGAAUGCUAAUGGAGCGUGAAUUCGCCGAGUUGGUGGCGACGCGGAAGGUUAGUCUAGUGAGCGAUUUCAUAGGGCCGGAAACAGUUCGGCGAUUGUUGAAGGCGGAUAUGCCCUCGACCAGCCUGGCAGAGGGCAAAAGCCUUCUGGACUGAGGCAACUGUGAUAACGACGUUUGAAUUCUACGCAUAAAAAAUAAUUUCAUAGCAUAUACUAAGGAACUGCUCACAGUAUUUGCGACCCGUAUAGACCUAUAUGCAGUGUGCGAUUCAUAAGCCUCGUACCUGAUUUAGGGAGCUAAUUUCACACAAAGAGGCAAACGAAUUUCCAAUUUUCAAAAUACCAUUAUUGUUAACCACUAUGAAUUACUCCAAAGCACUUCUUACAUAUUAAGGUAUAUCUAAGGUAGCACACACGAUAUCUUAACUAUAUUCCUUACAUGUUGUGAUACAAGAAGGCGCAAAAGCGGCUUUCUUUAGCUGUUAAAUCCAAGAAUACUUAGAAUACUUAUUCGAAUAUUUAACCAGAUCUCUGAAUUGUGUCGGGUAAGAACGGACCAUAGGUUUGAUUUAUAUACGCUCAUUUUUGUAAAGUAUAGUCGCUAUAUACUCAGCUAACUGAAAAUUUAAUUUUUGUAUUUCAUAUCGAAGAGGUCAAAUAAAUCAUAAACUUUUGGCGUCUUGUAUCUGCAAGAAAUCAAUAGAAACUGAGAAGACAAAUAAUAUAUGUAUUGUUUAUCCAUUAAUGUAACUAUCUGAAGCGCUGAGUCGCACUGUAGCCACAUUGGAAACACAGGGAAUUAAAAAUGUAAGCCAAAAAUAUGACUUUUGAGACUGCAAUUUCAGGCACUCCCUAAUUGCCGGGUGAAAAUAUGUGGGCCACAAGUGCCACGAGAUGCCAGGGAGAUCGUAACUCGGAGUCGAAGUCGGUGUCGGUAUCAGUGUCAGUGCCAGUGCCAGCGAGCCCAGUUGGUGGGCGUGGCUGUUCCCUGCGGUGCAUUGGGCCAUGGCAGUCAUGGAGCUGACGUUUAUGCUCCACCUGCCUCACCAGCCUCCCACUGGCCAUUGAGGCGCAAACAAGAGCGGGCAAACGGAGAAAAAAACACAGAGUUAAUUGCACAGACGACGCAGUCAAUAAACUUGAAGUCGAGCUUGUCGCUGGUGGAGCAACAAUGGCCACAGAGACACCGGAGCAACUGCAACAAAAGACAGCAGCUUACUCACAAAGAAAGUGAAAUUAAUUUGCUAUUUUUCGCUCGAUUGUGGCUCUUUGAGCGAAAAGCCUUUGAAAACCGAGAGAGAGCAUGGCCAAUCUUCACUGUCGGCCCUACAAAUUCGAUGUCUUUUGCUGCAUGUCAUAUACUUGUAUAUGUAUUACAUUUUGUCGCUUCCGAAGAAUGUAUAAAAUUAUUAAGGUAAAGAAACACACAUGUCUUGGAAAAUCAUUUAAACCUAAAUAUGUAUAUUAAUGACUAAAAAAGAAACAUAAACUGAAGCAUAAAAUGUUUUUACGUAAGAGUAUGAAAACGACCUGAAAAGAUUUUUUGGAAAUAGUAGUAGUUUAAACUAUAUUUAGGCUACAUAUUGGCAACAUAUUUUUGAUGAUCUGAAUAAUAAAGUUUGAUUUAGAUGUCUGGA